GAGACCAUCUUAUUAUUUUCUUCCGAAUUGUUUUCUUCGAACUGUUUCACAAUCUUACGACAAUGUCACAUAAAACAUCAUUUCUAUUAUCAGAUGAUAUUGCCCUCAGAGAAGUAUUUACAUCAGAUGCAACAUAUAUUAUUAUUAUUUUUUUAACAAGUAGAG